rnacentral:tRNA from 1 species
GGAUUGUGGCUCAGCGGUAGAUUGCUCGUCUAGCACGUGUGAGGCCCUGGGUUCAAUCCUCAGCACCA